rnacentral:rRNA from 1 species
GCCGUAUAUGCAAGUCGAACGGAAACAUAUCUAGCUUGCUAGAUGAUGUCGAGUGGCGGACGGGUGAGUAAUGCUUGGGAACUUGCCUUUGCGAGGGGGAUAACAGUUGGAAACGACUGCUAAUACCGCAUAAUGUCUUCGGACCAAACGGGGCUUCGGCUCCGGCGCAAAGAGAGGCCCAAGUGAGAUUAGCUAGUUGGUGAGGUAAAGGCUCACCAAGGCAACGAUCUCUAGCUGUUCUGAGAGGAAGAUCANCCACACUGGGACUGANACACGGCCCANACUCCUACNGGAGGCANCAGUGGGGAAUAUUGCAC